rnacentral:rRNA from 1 species
AUGGAGUACAAAAAAGGCAAAGAAAAUAGAGUGGCCGAUGCUCUCUCUAGAGUUAAGCAUGCUAUACUUACAUUGGGAACUAGCACUGCUAUUCCAGCAUGGAUCACAGAAGUGGUAAAUAGUUACAAGGAUGAUCCAAAGUGCUCUGACCUCAUCACUCAACUGGCAAUUACUCCCACAGGACACCCUCCUUACACUCUCACUAGUGGAAUUUUGAGGUACAAGGGAAAAAUCGUUGUUGGUAAUAACAAUGAAAUGAGGAAAUCACUUCUCACCUCCUUCCACAACUCUGAGUUAGGAGGACACUCUGGAGAAAGAGCAACAUAUCACAGAUUGAAAUCUUAUUCACUUGGCCAGGGAUGA